UGCUGGAGGUAUCAGAAGUGCGAAUGCUGACAUAAGUAACGAUAAAGCGGGUGAAAAGCCCGCUCGCCGGAAGACCAAGGGUUCCUGUCCAACGUUAAUCGGGGCAGGGUGAGUCGACCCCUAAGGCGAGGCCGAAAGGCGUAGUCGAUGGGAAACAGGUUAAUAUUCCUGUACUUGGUGUUACUGCGAAGGGGGGACGGAGAAGGCUAUGUCGGCCGGGCGACGGUUGUCCCGGUUUAAGCGUGUAGGUGUGUGCUCCAGGCAAAUCCGGUGCACUUUAACACUGAGGCGUGAUGACGAGGCACUACGGUGCUGAAGUGACAAAUGCCCUGCUUCCAGGAAAAGCCUCUAAGCAUCAGGUAACACGAAAUCGUACCCCAAACCGACACAGGUGGUCAGGUAGAGAAUACCAAGGCGCUUGAGAGAACUCGGGUGAAGGAACUAGGCAAAAUGGUGCCGUAACUUCGGGAGAAGGCACGCUGAUAUGUAGGUGAAGUGAUUUACUCAUGGAGCUGAAAUCAGUCGAAGAUACCAGCUGGCUGCAACUGUUUAUUAAAAACACAGCACUGUGCAAACACGAAAGUGGACGUAUACGGUGUGACGCCUGCCCGGUGCCGGAAGGUUAAUUGAUGGGGUUAUCCCUCGGGAGAAGCUCUUGAUCGAAGCCCCGGUAAACGGCGGCCGUAACUAUAACGGUCCUAAGGUAGCGAAAUUCCUUGUCGGGUAAGUUCCGACCUGCACGAAUGGCGUAAUGAUGGCCAGGCUGUCUCCACCCGAGACUCAGUGAAAUUGAACUCGCUGUGAAGAUGCAGUGUACCCGCGGCAAGACGGAAAGACCCCGUGAACCUUUACUAUAGCUUGACACUGAACACUGGUCCUUGAUGUGUAGGAUAGGUGGGAGGCUUUGAAGUGUGGACGCCAGUCUGCAUGGAGCCGCCCUUGAAAUACCACCCUUUAAUGGCUGGUGUUCUAACGUGGGCCCGUAAUCCGGGUUGCGGACAGUGUCUGGUGGGUAGUUUGACUGGGGCGGUCUCCUCCUAAAGAGUAACGGAGGAGCACGAAGGUCAGCUAAUCCUGGUCGGACAUCAGGAGGUUAGUGCAAUGGCAUAAGCUGGCUUGACUGCGAGCGUGACGGCGCGAGCAGGUGCGAAAGCAGGUCAUAGUGAUCCGGUGGUUCUGAAUGGAAGGGCCAUCGCUCAACGGAUAAAAGGUACUCCGGGGAUAACAGGCUGAUACCGCCCAAGAGUUCAUAUCGACGGCGGUGUUUGGCACCUCGAUGUCGGCUCAUCACAUCCUGGGGCUGAAGUAGGUCCCAAGGGUAUGGCUGUUCGCCAUUUAAAGUGGUACGCGAGCUGGGUUUAGAACGUCGUGAGACAGUUCGGUCCCUAUCUGCCGUGGGCGCUGGAGAACUGAGGGGGGCUGCUCCUAGUACGAGAGGACCGGAGUGGACGCAUCACUGGUGUUCGGGUUGUCAUGCCAAUGGCACUGCCCGGUAGCUAAAUGCGGAAGAGAUAAGUGCUGAAAGCAUCUAAGCACGAAACUUGCCCCGAGAUGAGUUCUCCCUGAC
rnacentral:rRNA from 1 species